CCUACUUUGUUUCCAAUUCCUUGCUGCCAUGAAAACGUUACUAUAAAUAUUCUGCUGGUUGCAAUUGUCUGAAAAGACAAUUCUACAAAUUCCUGGAAAAAAAGUAACAAAAAAGGAAACAUCUUACUUUGUAGCAAGCAUAAUCUGCAAGAAGGAACAAGACCUCUAAGAACUCAAGCCAUCAUCGUAGUAAUCUGGGGCUUUAAGAAAGUGUUCCAACCAAAAUGUGAUGAUUCCUAAUGAUUACAAAUAGAAACAAAAGUACAACAGAAAAAUGACCCUGGCAAAGAGGACCUCUACAGCAAAGGAUCCCUAUGAAAUGAGAUGCAGAUCAGCACUUUAAAAAAAAGGUUGGAGGAAAACAUAACAGUAUGCUUUAUUUAUUCUGCUGAAAUGCUUAACAAGACAAACUCAAAACCUUUUUCUAGGGAAAGUAACACAUUUUCCUUUGUCUAUACACAUAUACAAUGUCAUUCCCAACAAAAUUUAAUGCCUAAUGCAGAAGUUUGUACAUUUGCAAAUGAGGCUUAACCUUUCUGUUUAUUUAUAUGCAGGACAGGCUUGCAUGCAAGCAGGAAAAUUGAUUCAGAGCUUAAAAACAACGAAGUUAAUUAAUACCCCUCCCCCAAAACAACAAAAAAACUUUCAGCAAGUUGAAAAAAGGCAAAUAAAUUAAUGAACAAUUUAAUUAAUGAAACAAUCUAUUAGGUGA